CUCAAGGGGUGCUGGUUAAGCCGGCUGAGAUAGUAUCCGUGAAUAACGUGCAGAUACGUACCCUGUAACCUGAUCUGGAUAAUGCCAGCGUAGGAAUGGAGAAAUAUAUU
rnacentral:ncRNA from 1 species